UUUUUAGAUAACUGGAUUGAUAAACCAGAUGAAGCCAGAGUGGUGAAACUGGAGAGAAAGGGUUUUGGCUGAUGCUGGACACAGAACUGACUGCCUGCACAGCAAGAGCUGCAAAUCAAAAUGAAGAGGAUGAAAAGGGACUUCAAGGAGAAAGUAUUUGAUGUGCAUGGUGAGGAGAUCCCAGAUGUGGAGAAACAGCAAGUGGCUGCAGAGAAGCAGGAGCUGGAAAGGAAAUUCUCCUGUUUGAGUGAGGAGGUACGCCACGGGCUGUGGCAUGGGCUGGUCAAUGGGCUGAAAAAAAGAAC
rnacentral:lncRNA from 1 species